rnacentral:tRNA from 1 species
AGUAUUAUGCCUGAUAAAAAGGAAUAAAUUGUAAAUUUAUGCAUGAAUUAAAAUUCUAAUACUA